rnacentral:lncRNA from 1 species
UCGGCUCGUUCAGAUCUGUGUCCAGACUAUUUCCUGCACUUCCAAAGGGCUCAUGGGGGUCUAGAAA